rnacentral:rRNA from 1 species
UACGUAGGGUGCAAGCGUUGUCCGGAAUUAUUGGGCGUAAAGAGCUCGUAGGCGGUUUGUCGCGUCGGAUGUGAAAGCCCGGGGCUUAACCCCGGGUCUGCAUUCGAUACGGGCAGGCUAGAGUUCGGUAGGGGAGAUCGGAAUUCCUGGUGUAGCGGUGAAAUGCGCAGAUAUCAGGAGGAACACCGGUGGCGAAGGCGGAUCUCUGGGCCGAUACUGACGCUGAGGAGCGAAAGCGUGGGGAGCGAACAGG